rnacentral:rRNA from 1 species
UGGGGAAUAUUGCACAAUGGGGGAAACCCUGAUGCAGCAACGCCGCGUGAAGGAUGAAGGCCCUUGGGUUGUAAACUUCUUUGAUCAGGGAAGAAAGAAAUGACGGUACCUGAAUAACAAGCCACGGCUAACUACGUGCCAGCAGCCGCGGUAAUACGUAGGUGGCAAGCGUUGUCCGGAUUUACUGGGUGUAAAGGGCGUGUAGGCGGGAUCACAAGUCGGAAGUGAAAUCCCCGGGCUUAACCCGGGAACUGCUUCUGAAACUGUGGUUCUUGAGUACUGGAGAGGAAAGCGGAAUUCCUAGUGUAGCGGUGAAAUGCGUAGAUAUUAGGAGGAACACCAGUGGCGAAGGCGGCUUUCUGGACAGAAACUGACGCUGAGGCGCGAAAGCGUGGGGAGCAAACAGG